UUUUGUGUGAUUUCAGUUCUU
ensembl:piRNA 21ur-13815 ncRNA